CUUGCUGCCACCUAUUACUAGGCCCAUGCCUCCCCUCCUCUUCCUCUCUCUAGCCCAUGCCCUCUCUCUAGGCAUCCCUCUUUGGAGUUGAAAAAUGGUGGGUGGCAACAAAGGGUUGGGGUCAAGUGUUGGCGCCAACUAGUUUCUUGAUUUUUUCCUUUUCCUCUCAAAUUUGUUAAGAGUUAGUUACAACCACUUCUUG
rnacentral:lncRNA from 1 species